rnacentral:tRNA from 1 species
GCCGUUGUAGCUCAGUGGUAGAGCACUUCCUUGGUAAGGAAGAGGUCGUGAGUUCAAUCCUCAUCAACGGCU